ACGAAUAUAAAUAACCAAUACAUUAAAACACAGACACAAUACACACGAGAUAGUUACAAGGAAGAAAUUAUUUAAAACAUUUAACAUACAUUUUUACAGUAAAACCCUACUUCUAUUUACGUACAUAACAAUAAAAUUGUACAGUCCUAUGCCUUCUCCACUUACGCGAGGCAGCUCAAGGACGGUGAGAAAAAAAAAAAAAAACAAAAAAACAAAGACAGAAAGGAAAAAAAAGAGAAAAAGAACUGUCAUGUCAUACGUGACAGUUCGUCGUUCAAAUAGCAUCAAAGUUUUAGUUAUUUUAACCUAACCACCGUCAGAGUGAAAAAUUAUUAUUUUCUUUGGCUACCGCUAUGAUUGCUACCUUCCAAGCGAAAAAUGGAAAAAAUCAAGAUUGUCCACGUAGUAAUGAUGUGGCAAGCAUGUGUCCCGAGGAUUAACGUUCUCACACCAAUGGUGACGAUAACAAGAACAACCCGUUUAAGCGUGGCUGGGAACUGUACACGACUGCGUCAGAGAUUACAAUAUAUUUGGGCUGCGCACUAACUUUAACAAGAUAAGGCCGCCAGUGACGCUCAACGACCGUUCGCGCAGGAAUUAAAGCGCGCGACCGGGGUGAUGGCGGCCCAUCCAAUCGGCUACAGAGGCCCACCCAACGCGUGCGCGAUCCUCACUGGUGCCGGGACGACGCUGACAGGCCAGCUGCUGCCAAUACACGCGACGCGCAUGCACUCAAAGGCGCGCAACGGUGGUGGCAGGUCAUUCCAGCACCGCGAGGCCGCAUACCUAAACGACCCACGGAAUGCCAUGGUGCGAUGUUUCGGAGUGGCAAAUAUGCGGGUGCAAGAUCUUUUUUGAUAUCUGCUAUGACUCUGAGCCCA